GACGAAGGGGGCAAGCGUUGUUCGGAAUUACUGGGCGUAAAGGGCGCGUAGGCGGCCAUUUGAGUCAGACGUGAAAGGCCUGGGCUCAACCUGGGAAUUGCGUUUGAUACUGGAUGGCUUGAGAGCGGGAGAGGAUGGUGGAAUUCCCAGUGUAGAGGUGAAAUUCGUAGAUAUUGGGAAGAACACCGGUGGCGAAGGCGGCCAUCUGGACCGUAUCUGACGCUGAGGAGCGAAAGCGUGGGGAGCAAACAGG
rnacentral:rRNA from 1 species